rnacentral:pre_miRNA from 1 species
AGUGGGAUUGCUGGAUUAUAUGGUCAUUCCGUGUUUAACUUUUUGAGGAACUCCCAAACUGUUUGCCAUAGUGGCUGCACCAUUUUACAUUCCCACCAGCAGU